rnacentral:rRNA from 1 species
UACAGAGGGGGCAAGCGUUGCUCGGAAUUACUGGGCGUAAAGGGCGCGUAGGCGGCCUGUUAAGUCAGACGUGAAAUCCCUCGGCUCAACCGGGGAACUGCGUCUGAUACUGGCGGGCUUGAAUUCGGGAGAGGGAUGUGGAAUUCCAGGUGUAGCGGUGAAAUGCGUAGAUAUCUGGAGGAACACCGGUGGCGAAGGCGGCAUCCUGGACCGACAUUGACGCUGAGGCGCGAAAGCCAGGGGAGCAAACGGG